GGCCUAAUGGUCUAGUAGCAUGAUACCUCCUUCGGGAUUUUCCGAAUUCCACAUGAGUAAUGAUCAUGUUCGCUUGGAGGUGGUCCUGGGUUCAAUUCCCAGUUAGGCCC